rnacentral:SRP_RNA from 1 species
GCCAGGCAUGGUGGCGGGUGCCUGUAGUCCCAGCUACUCGGGAGGCUGAGACAGGAGAAUGGCUUGAACCUGGGAGGCAGAGGUUGCAGUGAGCUGAGAUCACGCCACUGCACUCCAGCCUGGGUGACAGAGUAAGACUCCAUCUCAAAAAAAUUUAAAAAAUGAAGUGAAGUCUCGCUCUGUCACCCAGGCUAGAGUGCAGUGGUGUGAUAUCAGCUCACUGCAACCUCCACCUCCCAGGUUCAAGCCAUUCCACUGCCUCAG